CUGAGGAUCAAAAACCAUAUGUGACGGAUAACCAUUGUUAAGUUGUGAGGCCUGAUUCCAGUCAGUUGUAAGAACACCUGCAUCACUAGCCAGCGUCGCUUGAUUCCAGUCAAUCACAGUCCCCCUAUUGUCACUUGCCUGCAUAGCCUGAUUCCAGUUUGCCAGAUUCUGAGUGGCAUCACUUACCUGCGAAACCUGAUUCCAGUUUGCCAGAUUCUGAGUGGCAUCACUUACCUGCGAAA
rnacentral:misc_RNA from 1 species